AGCCGUUGGAUCUAAAAGUUAUUUCUGUUCAAGGUAGAUCCUGAUAAAAUAAGCAGUUAAUAAGAUGUGGAUCGGCUAAUUUAUGCAGUACAAUCUACACCGGUGCUAUGGGACAAAACGUGUCUAUUGAAAAAUUCAUUUUUGCCUACUCUGAGAUGAAGGUAGCAUUAUUUGGUUUUUCCGUACAUCUAGACAGCGUCUACUGCAUUCAUUAUAGAUAUAGGUUUCUAUCGAGAACCGAAUCGAAAGGAAACGCAGUUGUAUGAAACAGGCCUUAUAAUAGACAAUAUUGUUAUAAUAAAAUUUUUGUUCAAUAUAAUACCUAUGUAAUAGUGAACAUUUGCUGAUUUUGGAAAAUCUUAAAUGUUGUUGAUGGUUUUUCGUUUUGUCUUAAUGAUAAUGAUUAUUCAAAAGUUCGUAUGUUUGCCCAUCUCUAGGACUCACUUCGGCUGAUCAAAUUUUCUUGUGCGUUCGUCGAACAAUUCUUCGGAUUCGACACAGGUAGUAAGCGCUAGAUGCACUAGAUGCACGAAAUGCCUGAAUGUGCCUGGGCGCUCGAUCCAAGUGCGCUCGUCGCAACCCACCGCUUUUAGCCUAUAAAAACAAUAUCCAAUUCUGUGCUAACUACCACGAAUAUAUCAUGGGCUUACUGCAAAAACCCGUUAUUUACAAAAUCUAUAGUUUCUAUAUAAUUGAGUUUUAAAGUUUCUAUUUACUCCAAAAAAUUUGUAAAUUAAUUCAAAAACUUUCUAUUUGGAAUUUGAAAUAUGGUGAUACUUCUACUAUUGUUCAUAUCAAUAUGAAUAGAAAAACAUUAUAAUAUACAUAC